rnacentral:miRNA from 1 species
UUCCUAUGCACAAACCUCUUUGC